ACGCUCGACACCUACGGGAGCAGCAGUAGGGAAUCUUCCACAAUGGGCGCAAGCCUGAUGGAGCAACACCGCGUGAGUGAAGAAGGGUUUCGGCUCGUAAAGCUCUGUUGUUGGAGAAGAACGUGCGUGAGAGUAACUGUUCACGCAGUGACGGUAUCCAACCAGAAAGUCACGGCUAACUACGUGCANNACGCCGUAGUAUNGCGGCGGNGNGAGAG
rnacentral:rRNA from 1 species